UGCGUAGGCGGAUUAAUAAGUCAGUGGUGAAAUCUUUCGGCUCAACCGAGAAACUGCCAUUGAUACUGUUAAUCUUGAGUUCGGUUGAGGUAGGCGGAAUGUGUAAUGUAGCGGUGAAAUGCUUAGAUAUUACACAGAACACCAAUUGCGUAGGAAGCUUACUAGACCGACACUAACGCUGAGGCACGAAAGCGUGGGGAGCGAACAGGAUUAGAUACCCUGGUAGUCC
rnacentral:rRNA from 1 species